ACUACCAUGGAAGUCUUUCGAAGAGAGAUAUGGUAGAUGGGCUAGAAGAGCAUGACAUUUACUGUUGUGUCGAUAUUUUCUCCUCGGACCUUGAAAAUUUAGUGGUGGGGUCACGCAAACUUCUCAACAGGCCGUACCAAUAUCCGCAGCUGGUCUCCAAGGUGAAGAGUCUCUAGUCGAUAGAAUAAUGUAGGUAAGGGAAGUCGGCAAAUUAGAUCCGUAACUUCGGGAUAAGGAUUGGCUCUGAAGAUUGAGAUAGUCGGGCUUGAUUGGGAAGCAAUAAUAUGGUUUAUGUACUCGUUCUGGGUAAAUAGAGAUUUUCGGAUCUUGUUCCUCGGAUAGCAGUUACGUAACCAAUUGUGGAACUUUCUUGCUAAAAUUUUUAAGGGAUUAUCGCAAGAUAUAUUCUUUUUAAAUUAUAACGAUUAUCAAUUAACAAUCAAUUCAGAACUGGCACGGACUUGGAGAAUCCGACUGUCUAAUUAAAACAAAGCAUUGUGAUGGCCCUAACGGGUGUUGACACAAUGUGAUUUCUGCCCAGUGCUCUGAAUGUCAAAGUGAAGAAAUUCAAGUAAGCGCGGGUAAACGGCGGGAGUAACUAUGACUCUCUUCAGUAACUAUGACAAACAUCUACGUAGCAAUUAAAAUGGGGAGAGUCAUAGAAGUGCCUAUUCUCACCUCCUCGUGGUUCCUGCUGGACAGUAGACGCGAAGGAUUGUUCCCCUCCAGACUUCCGGUCCAACCGACCUAAGGCUUAGGCGGU
rnacentral:ncRNA from 1 species